rnacentral:misc_RNA from 1 species
GUUCCCGUUAAAAAGUAAUAUAUACAAAUGCAUGAGAAACGAUAUUCAAAUUCAAAACCAUUCACCUGACAGUUUCUGAAACUGACAAUCAAAACAUUAUGCAUUAAAAUUAAAUUACAUUUUUUUCUCUUCUUCCAGUGGGGCACCAAAGAAACAAUUAACAAGCAGGCACCUAGUAAUGUGAUAGACUUGCAGUAAAUAGGAAAAGAUACAGGAUGGUCCUAUUGGUGCAUUAGACCUCAUUAUGGAAUCAAUUACAAUUCUCCAACAUGCGCGCACAAUCUAUGGAAGUUCUUCACACCUGGCUCUGAAGGCAAAAUGUACAAGCAGCCUCAGCUCAUGCUUUUAAGAAAUCACCAAAAAGCAGCACUCAAUUAAUGGUGUUUACACAUUCUUGUGCUUCUUCAUUCAGGUACGGUCUUUUUUAGUGCAAAUUGCACACCACUUCAUUAUUCAUGGAUAAUCAACUAGGCCACAUUAUGCCAAGUAUCUAAACAAAUUAGGGUUAUCUUUGUCCCUUUCAAGAUAGUC